GACGUAGGGCGCGAGCGUUGUCCGGAUUUAUUGGGCGUAAAGAGCUCGUAGGCGGUCUGUCGCGUCUGCUGUGAAAACUCGGGGCUUAACCCCGGGCCUGCAGUGGGUACGGGCAGACUAGAGUGCGGUAGGGGAGACUGGAAUUCCUGGUGUAGCGGUGAAAUACGCAGAUAUCAGGAGGAACACCGGUGGCGAAGGCGGGUCUCUGGGCCGAUACUGACGCUGAGGAGCGAAAGCGUGGGGAGCGAACGGG
rnacentral:rRNA from 1 species